UGGGGAAUCUUGCACAAUGGGGGCAACCCUGAUGCAGCGACGCCGCGUGAGCGAUGAAGCCCUUCGGGGCGUAAAGCUCUUUCGACCGGAACGAUAAUGACGGUACCGGGAGAAGAAGCUGCGGCUAACUACGUGCCAGCAGCCGCGGUAAUACGUAGGCAGCAAGCGUUGUUCGGAGUUACUGGGCGUAGAGAGUGCGUAGGCGGUUUUCUAAGUUCGGUGUGAAAUCUCCCGGCUUAACUGGGAGGGUGCGCCGAAGACUGGGAAGCUGGAGUGUGGGAAAGGCAGGCGGAAUUCCUGGUGUAGCGGUGAAAUGCGUAGAUAUCAGGAGGAACACCGGCGGUGUAGACGGCUUGCUAGACCAUAACUGACGCUGAGGCACGAAAGCGUGGGUAGCAAACA
rnacentral:rRNA from 1 species